AUAUAUGAUAUGAGGUAGGGAUCAAAUUUUGUUUCUCCCUACCUUUGGAGGUAACAAAUUGUCCCAACAUUGUUUUCCCACUAAUCGAUAAUGCCACUUUGGUUACAUACCAAAUUCCCAUAUUCAUGUGGAUCUGCUUCUGAGAACUUUACUCUGAAGCAGUGAGUGACCUAUUUCAGAGGUUGGUAAACUCUGUAUUUCAGGAACUCUGGCUCACAAGCACUGCUCAAGCAGGCUAAUAAUAUGAGUGGUGGCAACUCAGCCCAGGCAUACCCCUCUUCCCUGUUCUUCCCUUUCUGGUAGCCACCAAUCACUGCUGCCCAGGAUCCGUAGUCCCUGCCUACUUAUUGGAGGCUCUGCUGUUGAUAACUGCUAACAUGGAACAGUGGAAUCUUAGUCCAGUGGAAUCUUGGUCUAGGAGUUGGUGAUUUACUGAAUCACCUUGCGUAUGGCCACCUGCUUAAGUUAGGAUGGCCAAGCUCUCUGAGAGAUGAGAAAGGUGUGCUAAGUUUUGGGUGUGGCUAGGGCUGAAAAUGAAACUGGUGUGCUGCCUCCUUAUCUUCCUUCCUCCAAGACCAUCAAGUUCUUUCCCCACUAGGUAGAGUGACAAAACAUGAUGGAUUUCUGGAGAUGGAGAGGAUAAUUCAGGACCUGGAACUUUCAGGGCCUAAACAACUUCAGUCCUAGGUAAACCAGGAUAGAUGUUCAAUAGCCACUUUAUAC
rnacentral:lncRNA from 1 species